rnacentral:rRNA from 1 species
CUGCUGCCUCCCGUAGGAGUCUGGGCCGUGUCUCAGUCCCAAUGUGGCCGUCCGCCCUCUCAGGCCGGCUACUGAUCGUCGCCUUGGUGGGCCGUUACCCCGCCAACUGGCUAAUCAGACGCGGAUCCAUCGUAUACCGCCGGAGCUUUUCACACUGUCCCAUGCGGGACCGUGCGCUUAUGCGGUAUUAGCACCUGUUUCCAGGUGUUAUCCCCCUGUAUACGGCAGGUUAUCCACGCGUUACUCACCCGUCCG